CUACGGGAGGCUGCAGUGAGGAAUUUUGCGCAAUGGGGGAAACCCUGACGCAGCAACGCCGCGUGAGCGAAGAAGGCCCUCGGGUCGUAAAGCUCUGUCAAGUGGGAAAAAAAUUUUUUGAUCAAUAGUCAAAAGGCUUGAUGGUACCACUGGAGGAAGCACCGGCUAACUCCGUGCCAGCAGCCGCGGUAAUACGGAGGGUGCGAGCGUUGGUUCGGAUUUACUGGGCGUAAAGAGCGUGUAGGCGGUUUAGCAAGUCAGAUGUGAAAGCCCUGGGCUCAACCCGGGAAGUGCAUUUGAAACUGCUUCACUAGAGUAUGGGAGAGGAGAUUGGAAUUCCUGGUGUAGAGGUGAAAUUCGUAGAUAUCAGGAGGAACACCCGUGGCGAAGGCAAUUCUCUGGACCAAUACUGACGCUGAGACGCGAAAGCGUGGGGAGCAAACAGGAUUAGAUACCCUCGUAGUC
rnacentral:rRNA from 1 species